ACAUUUCUAGCUUGCUAGAAGAUGACGAGCGGCGGACGGGUGAGUAAUGCUUGGGAAUAUGCCUUAGGGUGGGGGACAACAGUUGGAAACGACUGCUAAUACCGCAUAACGUCUACGGACCAAAGGGGGCUUCGGCUCUCGCCCUUAGAUUAGCCCAAGUGGGAUUAGCUAGUUGGUGAGGUAAUGGCUCACCAAGGCGACGAUCCCUAGCUGGUUUGAGAGGAUGAUCAGCCACACCGGAACUGAGACACGGUCCAGACUCCUACGGGAGGCAGCAGUGGGGAAUAUUGCACAAUGGGCGCAAGCCUGAUGCAGCCAUGCCGCGUGUGUGAAGAAGGCCUUAGGGUUGUAAAGCACUUUCAGUAAGGAGGAAAGGUUAGUAGUUAAUACCUGCUAUCUGUGACGUUACUUACAGAAGAAGCACCGGCUAACUCCGUGCCAGCAGCCGCGGUAAUACGGGGGGUGCGAGCGUUAAUCGGAAUUACUGGGCGUAAAGCGUACGCAGGCGGUUUGUUAAGCGAGAUGUGAAAGCCCCGGGCUCAACCCGGGAACUGCAUUUCGAACUGGCAAACUAGAGUAUGAUAGAGGGUGGUAG
rnacentral:rRNA from 1 species